ACCCAUUUUAAUUAAGUAAGCCCAAUUCUUUUAUUUGAACCCUUGUGGGUCAAAUAUUUCAUGACUAAAGCCCAUUUAUUUAUUAAGCCCAAACACAAUCCCUACUCAAUACUCUAUAAAUAUCCCCCAAAGCCCCAAAAUUUUCCCCACAAAAGUCAAAUGGUAAAGGUAAUUUAUUUUCUUUUCUUUUCUAUUUUUCUUUCUUUUCUUUUUCUUUCUUUUUUCUAACUCUUUCCCUUCUCCAUUACGUGAAAGCCACCAACACCACGCCACCUUGCAGCCACCCGACGCCGACCACCUCCGGCUGCCCAGCCACCGCGGUGGAGACUUUAAGUUGAGUAAUUUCUAGCAUUGUGGCUAGUUGGAAAGAUGAUUUAAUUAAGGUACGUAUAAGAAUACGAGAAAACUUGAUUUUAGGAGCAUGUU